GUUUGUUUCUGUUUUUGUUAUUGUUUCAGUUUUUUUUUCCAUUGGGUUUGACCAACUCUAUAUUCGACUUGAACAAAUCCGAAGGAAAGCUUCCAAUUAUGGGGAACAAGUCCUCUGAAGUGGCUAAAUUCCCACACACACAAAAGAAAAGGUAGGGUGGUGGGGGGGAGAAAAACAGCCAGCAAAAGGAAAAAAAAAAAAGGAAAGAUUUUUGAUUUUGAGUUUAAUUAUAAAAAACUAAACUCACAUCAUAUAAUGAGUUCCUAUAUCAAGUUAUCUAUAAUGUCAAAAAUAACACACAGGGGCAUUAAACUAUUUAUUCAAACCUAGCACUGAGUUUAUAAAAUAGAUUACCUUCGAGAAUAAGAAAUCCAGGACUGGAAGAGAAUGCAAACAUUUUGGAAUGAGCAUUUAGAAAAAUGAGACAAUGUGAUGGGGAUUUAACUAGAGAUUAGUAUAAGGCAUGUUAAUCAGCUACGAAGUCUGACUGAGUCUGACCAGCAUACAUUGGCAGUGGACCAACUGGCCUGGCUUUAUGACUCGACUUUCACUAGCAACAGUCAAUAGAGCAGGAAGAUAUGUGCAUAUGUAUCCAUGUGUCUGUGUGUCAGGGGUUGAGGGAGCAAAUGAUCCUUUCUACAAUCAGGGUUGCUGAAGGGAAAGGCAGUAAGGCAGAUGGAUAAGAGAGCAACUGGAAUUUUAGGAAUAUAUAUUUACAUAGUUUUGUACAGUUCAGUAAUAAUCCAGAUAAAUUGCUUAGGCCAGAUGGUUGGUUUAUCAAGCCAUGCAGUGUGCCUUUUUGUAUGCAAAUGAAAUGUCUACAUAUCAAGAGAGCCUUGGGCAGAAUCCAAAAUGGAGCAGCCAAUUUGCCCUAAAAGGUGAUAAAUUUAGGACCCAGAGAGGAGAAUACUGGAGGUUGACAAUAUUGUUUCCUAAUAUGUCCUAGUGAUUUAAUUUUAAUAAAUUGAUGUGAACUUGCUGGUCAUCUAAUUGUUCUCUAAUAGAUGUAUUGUAGAGACUUUUUUUUUUUGCAUAAGUAUGGCGCAGAGGAGGCUAAUAAAACUAAAGUUUUCUGCAAUUUUAGGUUGAUUCAAACCAUUUCAAUUUCAAUUUCUCAAAAGCUCAUCAUUGGGAGACAAUUAAAGAGCCCCUAAAUGAUUAUGAAAUUGCAAAUUAUCACAAUAGCCUCAAAGAAAUGCCUAUCAGAUCAAAGUUGGGGAAGAAAGCACAGUUGAGUAGAAUGAGAGAGAAUCCUGAAGAUAAUGAUUAAGCCAAUGACGGCUACUUCACCUGAAAUCUCUGCCACCCUCAAUAAAUGUGUGCUUUAUCAAGUAAUUCUUUCUCCUUUGACUAGGGUGGGAUAGGGGAAAGGUGGCUCUCAAGUUGCUUCAAAAGAAGAGCUGGCAAUUCAAAUAUUUUCUUGAUAAUUUAGGAUUGGGAAGUCACGUUGCUGAGUUUUCUAUGAUUAGAAACUAAAGGAAAAUUUGAAAGAGAGAUAAAGUAUAAAACAGCAUAAAUUAUGGCUAAACAAAGGAUUCCUUCUGGAAAAGGGAAGAGGAUAGGGCAGAAAUUCCAUGAGUGACAGAUCAAGCAGCCCCUGAAGUUGUUUUACAAAAAGAAAUUAGUGAUCUUGGUGAAGUGGGUUAUCUAAUCAUUUUGGUAAACUCUUCGGUUCCCUCCCUUCUGAGCCCUUGCCACAAAAACUAAACAUAUGACCCAAGCCUCACCAAAUAUAUUACUUCAUUUGCCCGGCAACAAUGAUUGGUCCAAGGCAUAAGCAUGUGACCCAAGCAGGACCAAUCACAUUUUGUCCCCUGGGGUUGUUAUUUGGUCAUUGAUAGGAGGAAAUACUUUUACCCCUGAGGAUUGCUAGACUGAGAUGCUGGUAGUAAUAGUAAUCUUCCCUAGUCACUGGAGGUAGCCUGUGUGCAGUAGGAGAGAAAGAGAUCUGUCCCACGGAAAGAGAAACAAAAGUCAAAAUGCGAAACAAAUGGAGAGGGGGUCUUCAUUCCUAUCCAAGAAGCUCUGACUGUGUAGCCUCAAUUCUGUAAGCUACACUUGAAAUCAGGUAUUCUGACUUGGUUAAUGACAUCUUUCAGGUCCCAGUUUUAAGUCCUAUACUCAUCUAAACAAAAUUAGCCACCCAAAAAUCAUGAGUCACUCCCCACCUCGCCAGUCACCCAAGAGUGUGUUCUUUGUAAAAAGAGCAUCACUAAGUAAAAUGGGAGCUUAAGAAAUCAAAUCAUAGAAGGCUGUGGUCAGAAAGAAGAAUUUCUGAAUUGAAGAGCUUGAUCACGCAGCAAUUCUGAGAGAUGGUGAGAUCUAACAGAAGCAAUGAGGUUGUUUAGAUACUAUCAAUGCAUACUUUCUGGGGUCAUGAGAAUGAUAUCUCAGAGACACGGGUAGAAAAUGUCUUGUUGUUUCAUUUAGAAAAUCAUUCAGAGGAAAAGGAAAUUAGAGGUUAAUAGGACCUAGCAAUGAGGAUUUUUAGACAAUAGUAUAGGAAAUCAGAAGGGAAAAGCUGUUGAACCAUAAUGGAGGAGCAAAAUACCAGAUGAAGCAGCGAUACGGUAAUGAAAUCUACAAAACACAUUGAGUGUCAGGUACAGGCAGAACAUUAGAUUAUUUCUAUUUUAAAUUUUAUAGUGCAAGUGAAAAGUUGUUUGUUUUUGUUUUUCAUUUUUGCUAUUUGGGGUAACAAAGAGAACAUUUAUGAAGAAGAGAAAGACACUCCAUUAGGAACAGAGUCUGCAGAAAUAGUACAAUUUAUGUCCAGAGAGAACUUUGCUUGUGAGGGCUGCCUACUUGAUGCGAAUGUUGUUUGAUGGCUAUCACUUUGAUUUCCACAGGAACCAUAGAGAUAUUCCAAGACCAACGGUGUGGCUAAGUAUAAAGUAAUGGGGUCUCUAAAUUAAUGUCCACUUGGUGGCAGUAGACUGUGGUUUUUAUUAAUAACACUAGUCUUUAAAUAUAUUUGUGGUAUAUUUAAUUACCACUGAAAUCUUAAGAUUUUGCUACGCAAACUGUUAUUUCCAAUAUGUACAUAUCUUAGAGAAUCAUUUAUUGUAAUUGUUUUCUUUUCCAGAUGAGUCUAUGCCCAGGACCACCAGAUAAUUGAGUCCUGUACAAAAGCUUCUGACUAAACAAUGUGCUCUGGCUCAGGACUAUACAGAGAAAAGACACAGUUUUUAAAUUGAUCGUUCAAAAGGAAACAUAUUUAUGAUAUUUGCUCCAUGAUAUGUAUCUCUCAUCUGUUAGCUCAGGCAGAAUUAAAAUGCUAGACAAUAAUGUUCCAUGCCACUAUGCUUACUCGGGUCUCUCACAUUGGUGUACUUCUGGCACAAAGUCACAUGACAUUUGAGUAAUAGCUGUCUCCCAUGUGGACUUUACACCACAUGAUGUCAGGGGCCAUUCAUUCUAUUCCAAUUACAUAAAUCAUAGAUUAGGAUAGGUCUUGGCAAGGACUGGGUACUAUAUGAAUAUUUUUGAGUAAAUGUAUGAGCACAAAAUAUUUUAUGUGGUUAUGUAUCUAGUAAAACAUGCAAGGCUAACAUAUCCUCUUUCAUUAGACUUCAAGAAAACUCCAGCGAAUAUUUAUCAGAAAAAGAAAACCAGGAAAAAUGAAAGAAGUAAUAAAAUUAAAAUCUCGUACAGACCAAAAAUAAAUGAUACAGAGCAUUUAGGUAGUCAGAAGCUGUGCUAACUGGUUUCCAAACAAGGUAAAGAACAGCCUGCUAGGAACACACUGUAUCUCAAAGGGCAAAACAAUAACGUCAAACCUUUCUCCUCUGCAUUGCAAAUACCAUUUGCAUUUCAAUGACACUACACUCUAAAGAAUAUGCUCUACUAAGUUUGUUAGAUAAGCCGCAUGUGCUGUGUUUCAAAUCACAUAGUAAUAAAAGUGUUCCAGUUCUUUGAUAGAUUUACGUAAUUCCCUAACUGGACUACCAUUGAUUCCCCUUAAGAAAGGUAUAUAGACUCUCUAUGAAAAAUAGAGUUUCUUAAAUCCAGCUUCCUAUGUGGAAAGUAUUAUUACUUUAUAGGAAAAUAAUUUCUAGCUGUUUUCCUGUUGUUCCCAAGAGUCUUUCCAAUUUCUUUAUAUAUCUGUCUUAGAAUGUUCAAUUUUCUCAAGCCCCUUAAAAAAUCAUUCUUGCUUUUCUACUCAUUUCCACUUGUUAAACUUGACCCAGUUUUCUCUUGGUUUCAUAUUUUACCAUUCAACUUUUAUUCCACUCUCUACCCUCUCCAACUCCCCUAAAUAAAUUGUUUUUUCAGGUCAUAAUACCCCUAUUUGUUUUUCCUACACAACGGGUAAGCUCAGAUGGAACAUUAUCGAAUGGUGAAAAGCAUAAGUUUGUCUUAGGACACAAAGUUUCUAACAAAGAUUGAUUCUUCUCAUAUGAAAUAACUGCUUCUUUAUACUUUUCAUGGCAUUUUAGAAUACAGGGUAGGAUUGCAGUCCCUGAAAUGUACCAAUUCUGAAUUAAACUAAUUAAUUAAUUAAUUUUCUUAGCACCCCACAGAGAUUGUGCCAUCACUUUUUUGUAUCAUGCUGCCCCUGAUUUUCCUCCUAGUGGGCCCGAAACAUCCAUCUUUCCACGAGUGUGGUCAGGAGAUUAGGACUGUUAUAAAUGAAGUGCAAAGAGAUUUACUAUUCCAAGCAGAAUUUUGCAGUCAGUAAGAUGUUAAAGAUUAUCUAAAGAAUAUCAAGUCAAAUCCAGAAGUCUCAGCUGAAGGUGUUUCUUCUUUAACAUACAGAUUUUAUACUGCCCAUCAAUGAGGGUAGGCCUUGGGACAGAUUUAUUCUAAGAAAUGAGGAUAGAGUAGAGAAAGAAAAAGUCUGAAGCUCUUCUUAUGGGGCUGCAGAGCUGGGAGACUUUCAGAAAUAUGAGAAAGGAAAUAAGAGAGGCAGAUGACACAUGAGUUUUCAUGUUUUCUCUCCAAACAGAUAGGCAGUCUGGAAAAGCUAAGGAUGUGGGCUUUUGACUAGAAUAAUGUUUGGGACUCUGAAAGGGGUUUGCCUUGGAUGACUGCCCUGCACAGCUUCAAGAUGGCCACAUCGGGGGAAACACAGUGGCACAGUGUGGUGACAGAGGGCUGAUGUUCAGUAUCUGAGUCAUUCUUCAUGUGUGGCAUGAAUAGAGCUAUUUGUUCUAAGGAGGGACUUUGGAGGUGGCUAAAUGGAGUUGGAUAGUCUGCCAUGUGGCCAGUUUUGUUGGUGAUUCUGCAGAUGAACUACCUGCACCAGGAGUCUGAGGGAGGAUGUUACAGGAAUGCAGAGAGGUCUACAGUACAAGUAGGAGUUAAAAUGAGGUCAACUCUCAGCCUGGCAUGGUGACUUGGGCCUGUAAUCCCAGAAUUUUGGGAGUCUGAGGUGGGAGGAUUGCUUGAGCUCAGGAGUUUGAGACCAGCCUGGGCAACAUAGCCAAACCAUCUCUACAAAAAAUAAAAAAAUUAUGUGAGUGUGGUGGUGAGCACCUGUAGAUCCAGCUACUUGGGAGGCUGAAGUGGGAGGAGUGCUUGAGCCUGGGAGGCCAAGGCUGCAGUGAGCCAUGAUUGCAUCACUGCAGUCCAGCCUGAGUGACAGAGCAAAACCCUGUCUCAAAAAAAAAAAAAAAAAAUGAGGUCAACUCAGCCACUGAUUACUGCUAGAUGCUGACCAAGUUAGAGAGGACAACCCAGUGGAUUAAACCUUUCUCCAAAUUAAGCCACAUUGCUAGCAUGUCAGUGAUGAUCAAGAGGUCAAAGUAGUGAGUGAGGGCUAAAGAAGUGAGAGCACACUUAAUAUCAGAAAUAUUUCAGUCCAUGGGCAAAAGGAUAUUCUUACCAUGGGUAAGAGGAGGAAGUUUGCAGAAAUCUGAAACACUGAAACAAUUCUCUUAAAGACACUGGGAAAGGCUUCAGUGUCCAAACUGUUUUAAACCAAAUGAGUCUGUUUUUAAUUUUUUCUCCAACUGGAGAAAAUUGAAAAUUGUUUUGGUUGGGGCCAAGGGUGAAGGAGUCUUGAAGAACAUUGGAUCAGAUAUACCAAAUGACCAAUUUGAUAGAUUGAUUGAUUGACUAAUUUUUUUUUAAACUUUUAAGUUACUAUGGGAGUAAAUUCAUUACUUUGCUACAAAUGUUGUGGGAAAGUGGACAAGUCAAUGCACUACUGUGAAUACUUAUUCACUAAUUCACGUUUCCAUUUGGAAAAAUAAAGGAGUUGGGCUGCAUAAUUCUUAAGGUCUUCUUUAGUUGAGAGAACCUAUAUGUAUUUAUAGUCUGUCCUUCUUAUGUAGAGAACACGAAUGUCUAAUUAUUUACAUUUAUUUUUAUGAUAGAAUUAAAACGAUGUAUUAAGCUGGCCUUUUUUCAGACAUACUUGCAACCAGAGUCAUCAAUUUUGAAGACAGCAACCAAGCCAAGCAAUGUGAGGUUACAGCUAUGAAAUAGAACAGAGAUGUCUAGACUAUAGACACAGCCUGCCGUUUUGUGCUGAUUGGUAAAGUGUUCCAGCCAACUGGAAGCAAAUAUUUCUCAGAAGCAGUUUCCUGCUCUCAUCCUCUCCUCGCCAUGCCCACUGUGCCCAACAUGGCUCCAGCUGGGUCACAGAAGACUUUGUCCUGGAAUACAGCAUUUCCCUAUUUAAAUCUCUAACUUUGUAUGUACUCUUUUCAAUAAAAGCAUAUUUUUCAUUACCAUUCUGACCAUACUCCCUUCUCUGCUGGCUCCACAGCUAAGGUUUCUGCACCUGUUCCAUAACUUCUGGGAUCUGUCUCUGUUGCUGCACGUAUGCAUUCCAUAAGCAUUAAUAGAUCCAUUCACUCUUCUGAAAUCUGGGCAGCUUAAAUCAUAUUACAUCUAACGUAUUUUUACUAGAGUCAGUUCUACCCCCCGACUCUUGAGUGCACACACAGGCACUU
rnacentral:lncRNA from 1 species